rnacentral:rRNA from 1 species
GAGGGCAUAAAAGCCCUUAAACGGCCGCGAUCAAACCGUGCAAAGGUAGCAAAAUCAUUUGUCCUCUAAAUAGGGACCAGUAUGAAUGGCAACAUGAGAAAGGGACUGUCUCUUUGAGGAAGCCAGUGAACCUGAUCCACCUGUAAAAAAGCAGGAAUGCUAAAGCAAGACAAAAAGACCCUGUGAAACUUAAGAUGCCAACCAACCCAAAUGGCCAAAGCAUCUUCGGUUGGGGCAACCAAAGAGAAACACAAACCUCUUAAAAGUCACUAGGCAAACAUGCCAAAUGACAUCACCACCUGACCCAGUACUACUGAUUAAAGGACCAAGCUACUCCAGGGAUAACAGCGCCACAUUCUUGAAGAGUCCAUAUCAACAAGAAUACCUACGACCUCGAUGUUGGAUUAGGAUAUCCCGAUGGCGCAGAAGCUAUCAACGGUUCGUUUGUUCAACGAUUAAAAUCCCACGUGAUC